UACGUAGGGGGCAAGCGUUAUCCGGAAUUACUGGGUGUAAAGGGAGCGUAGACGGUAAUGUAAGUCUGGAGUGAAAGGCGGGGGCCCAACCCCCGGACUGCUUUGGAAACUGUAUAGCUGGAGUGCAGGAGAGGUAAGUGGAAUUCCUAGUGUAGCGGUGAAAUGCGUAGAUAUUAGGAGGAACACCAGUGGCGAAGGCGGCUUACUGGACUGUAACUGACGUUGAGGCUCGAAAGCGUGGGGAGCAAACAGG
rnacentral:rRNA from 1 species